rnacentral:rRNA from 1 species
AUUGAACGCUGGCGGCAGGCCUAACACAUGCAAGUCGAACGAGUUGCGGAGGGGAGUGUAAUGUCUGGGAAAAUGCCUGGAGGAGGGGGCUAACUACUGGAAACGGUCGCUAAUACCGCAUAUCAUCGGAUGUUUCCAGAUGGGAUUAGCAAGUGGGUGGGGGAAAGGCUCACCUAGGCGACGAUCCCUAGCUGGUCUGAGAGGAUGACCAGCCCCACUGGAACUGAGACACGGUCCAGACUCCUACGGGAGGCAGCAGUGGGGCAUACUGCACAAUGGGCUCAAGCCUGAUGCAGCCAUGCCGCGUGUAUGAAGAAGGCCUUCGGGUUGUAAAGUACUGUCAGCGGGGAGGCGUUACCCGCAGAAGAAGCACCGGCUAACUCCGUGCCAGCAGCCGCGGUAAUUC